UUCAUUACCGAAUUUUUUCAAAGAAUUUGAAGAGAAGAGUGGAGAGAGGAAAAAGGUGACGUUCUGAAGAAAUUAGGGCAGAAGACAAGAUUUCUCAAGGUACUAUGUCAUCAUUCCCCAGUAGUUUCCAAGAUACAUAUGAUCUGUUUCUAGAGUUCGACAACGCGUUCAAUAACGGGGAUUUCACGGUGGGCAACACUUUAGAUGGCUCUCAACCCACGCACACUCCUAGGAGACGUCAGCACUCCUUGUUGCCACAUCCCCGAGACAACGUGGAGUAGCCAACAUCCUAAAAAUGCAAUGGUUCUUGCUUGAUUUCAUAAAUCAAGCACUUAAUCAAUUUGUUGAGCAUCAAACACUCAGCACGUAGAAAGAGUUUAAAGAAGACUGCCAUAGGCAUUUUAAGCAAUUCAACGACCCUGAACAAGCAGUACGUGCCAACCCACCGAACAAAUUGAUGCAUCAUUUGGAAGAUUGACACUUUCUCUGCGAUCAGUACUUAAGUCGACAAUUUCAAGUGAUUUACAUCUUUUAAUGUUCCUUAACGUUUGUUCUUUUUUUUAUGUAACAUUUUUAUUGUUUGCAUGUAGGAGCAAUCAAGAAUCAACAAGGUUGCUAGAGCAAAGCAACCUUACAACCAUAGUAACAAGUCCAAGUCGUUCCUACAACAACAUGAGCUUACUAAACAACGAGCAUCAAAUGUUGGAGUUCCAAUCCCAACCCACCUCAGAAGGUUCUCAACCACUCCCCAAGGACAAGAUAUGCGAGAUCGUUUUGGGUAAACGAUCGGGCUACUCAAAAAGUCUUGGUAGGGGCCCCAAGCCCAAGUCCCAAAAGACUGGUAGAAGUUCUUCGUCUUCAUAUUCGCAAGAAAUGCACUCUAGAGAGAUUACUGAACUAAGAUCUAGCCUUGAGUGCUCGCAAUUGAAGAUUGAAGAACAAAAAAGUAAGCUUGAAGAACCUAAAUGAUUAAUUGAAGAACAAUAAAGAACGUCGAAGUAGCAAGCCCGACAAAUGAGGAAGAUGAUUGAGGAAAUGAGUCUGGCACACAGAGGACCUUUGGAAUUUAGUUUCUAAUUAUAUAAAUUACAAUUUUGUAUUUUAAUAAUUUUUUUAAUUUUGUGUUAGUAGUCUUUCUUAUUAAAUUUAAAUUGAGUCGGAACACA